rnacentral:sRNA from 1 species
CGAUCAGGCCUUUCAGGCAUCCUCUCCUAAAAACUUUCAUGGCCGGUCUUGUACCGGCCUUUUUUUUCGUCCGC